UGCCAGCCGCCGCGGUAAUACGGAGGGUGCAAGCGUUAAUCGGAAUUACUGGGCGUAAAGAGUACGUAGGCGGCUUUUCAAGUCGGAUGUGAAAGCCCUGAGCUUAACUCAGGAACUGCAUUCGAUACUGGAUCGCUAGAGUAUAUUAGAGGAUAGUGGAAUUUCAAGUGUAGCGGUGAAAUGCGUAGAUAUUUGAAGGAACACCAAUGGCGAAGGCAGCUAUCUGGAAUAAUACUGACGCUCAUGCACGAAAGCGUGGGGAGCAAACAGGAUUAGAUA
rnacentral:rRNA from 1 species